GUAAAAUGAUUACACGUUAUGUGAAAACUAGUACAAGUAUAUAAAUAAAUAAAAAGAGACUUACUCAUGUUUAUGAUCUCUGCUGAAUAAAGUGCUUAAUUCUUUUUUCUGAGGAAAUCCAAAUCUCAAAUCCUCAACCACAUCACAUCUUUUUGGGGUGAAUUAUGUCUUAUUCCUCUCAUCGCGAAGCAAACAGUAAAAUAAAAAAACUUGAAGAACAGUCUCGUUGCGUUGUCUUCUGUUGUGUGGGCGUAUUCAAAAGCCGCGCACUUCAGUGAAACAUUUGAAUCUCAAAAGCGCGCUCGGCGCGGGGGUGUGUUCGCAUUAGAAGAUAAUGAAGGGAGACGUGAAAAACGGACAUCGCGUUGUUUUCAUAUGGAUUACUUUAUCACAGAAUAUUUGUUUUCAGCAGCACUUGUUUAGUUUAAAAGUAGACAUGUCAGGCUUUCUAUAGAUAUCUCUCUCAUGUCUCGGUGUUGAGUAUUCACUGAGUUACAGUUCAUUUUAAUGACGCAUUUGUAACUGAAGAUCAGCGCAGACAAAGGCUGCAGACAGCACUCCUUGUUUGUUAUCUUUAUUUUAUAAGUGCACAAAGUUUUGUUGUUAUUAUGUCUGUAUACAAAAAAAAGUAGACCCUUUACAGAUUCGAUUGAUGUAUUGCACUUAUCUGUACGAUCAAAACUGAAAGUGUAAUUUAAGUUCUUUUCGGGGUUAUCAGGAGAAAAUACCCCAAAACGCGUAUACGCGUUAAUCGACUCCAGAGGGUUAAAUGGCAGAGCAUACGCAGCAGCAGGUCAGGCUGUGGCUUCGUUGCACACAAUGGCAGUGCUUCAAGCUUAUCAGGCUGAUCUGCUGAAGAACCUGGAUAAGGCGAGGGCCUUUCAGCUGACCAGGUAGCCGAGCUGCGCCGCACCACAGACCUCUCUCUCCGUGCUACCAAGCAGGCCGCCUCCGCCAUGGGUAGGUCUAUGGCGGCCAUGGUGGUAACGGAGAGACAUCUGUGGCUGAACCUGGCAGACAUCGGGAGGAAGGAAAGGGGCUUUCUUCUCGAUGCUGCUGUCUCGCCUUCCGAACUUUUCGGUACCUCCGUCGAGACGGUGGUUGAGAAGUUCAGGGAGGCGAGGAUGCGCUCGGAGGCGCCCCUUGAGCGGGGCUCCAGUGCAGGAGGGUGGGUGAGUAUGUAUCCCUUUCUGUAUAUAUUUAUGUGUAUUAAAUUGCUGGUGGUUAUGUGUCUACUAAUAAACUCUGUGAGCUUCCUUUACAGUGCUAAGCAGUUACGUUGUUUACGUCCGGCCUUGUGCUCUGGUUUAGGCGACUGA
ensembl:lncRNA